UACGUAGGGGGCAAGCGUUGUCCGGAAUCAUUGGGCGUAAAGCGCGUGUAGGCGGCUCGAUAAGUCUGCUGUGAAAGUCUAGGGCUCAACCCUGGGAUGCCGGUGGAUACUGUCGAGCUCGAGUCCGGAAGAGGAGUGUGGAAUUCCUGGUGUAGCGGUGAAAUGCGCAGAUAUCAGGAGGAACACCGGUGGCGAAGGCGGGUCUCUGGGCCGUAACUGACGCUGAGGAGCGAAAGCGUGGGGAGCGAACAGG
rnacentral:rRNA from 1 species